AGAGCCAUGUGUCUGGUGCGCAGUGUUAACAGGGCAGUUAUACCUUUUACAGACAACUGUGGCUCCAAGUCAAGUAUGAACUUACACAAACAGUUUAUAUAACAAGUGGAGGUGUGCGCCUGCGUGCCAAACUUGCUGACUCGUGCAGGCCUGGAUACCCGCCUCAGACUAUUCCUUGACCGAAGCACUUCCAGGGCAGGAAACUGAAGCUCUUGGGAAGGUGGAAGUUGCACGUGGUCUCACAGUCAACUGUGCCAGAAUAGGAGGCCAGGAACCAUCUCUGCUGGAGGAAGACCCACCACGCAUCCCUUCAAGAAUGCCAAGGUCCAGAGCAAGUGCUUCCCUUCUAUGGGCACAGGAGGGCUGUGGGAGCCCACAGAAUGUGCUUCUGGCCAGAGUGGGAUCCCCGAGGAAGAUGUUAAGACCUCUAAUAAUAUUUAAGAGCAAAAUUAGCACAGCUCCAGCCCAUGGGCAAGUUAAGAGACAGGAGUAGUGUCUGUGGAGUGGAGGAAAGCAGAGGCUGCCGCUGACCAUCCUGCAGCCCUCGCUCUGGCUGCUCACAGCUCUCCACCUUCUCUGGACUUCGUCACUUCAGUAUGUGAAACAACCAUUUCAACCAGCUUGGACAAAAGAGAGAAGCCAAGAUGGGGCUGAGAAACCAAUGCAGGCAGGCCCAGGGACCCAGGAGUCAGGGACCAGGUGCUACCAGAUGCUUGCUCCGACUCGUGUUGCUGCUGUCUUCUCUGUGCCUCAACUCUGUCCUCUGUCACUGCAGGCAGCUUCCUCCCAAGGUGCCAUGAGAAGACAUGCCUUGCUUCUCCUCUUCACCUUCUGCCAUGAUUAUCUCCAUGGGAUAACCACAUUGGUUUGUUUAGUAAACACUGAGACCAACUCCACCAUCCAGAGGCCUGACAGACAAAUGGCCUGAGACAGGGCUGGGAAAGUUUUGCUUCUGGUUGGGACUUCAGGAAGAGUUUUGUUUUGUUUUGUUUUCCCCCAAGGGAACAAGCCCUUGAAUCCGGGAGGCCAAGGUUGCGGUGAACCGAGAUUGCGCCAUUGCACUCCAGCCUGGGCAACAAGAGCGAAACUCCGUCUCAAAAACAUAAAAAGUAAAAAAGAUAUGUACGUCAAUGUCAGACUUUCUGUGCUGGAUGGAAGGACUCUGAGCCUACCAAAGGAAGCGUAUUUACAAACCUCUAGGUACUGACUUGUUGCUGAAGGUCAGAAAUUUGCAAUGACAUUUGGAUGUAUUCAAGGGUGGAGGGGCAGGUUUGGGGAAAGUUCUUUUAAAGAAAAAAUGCAAAA
ensembl:lncRNA LINC02613 long intergenic non-protein coding RNA 2613